UACGAAGGGGCUAGCGUUGUUCGGAAUUACUGGGCGUAAAGCGCGCGCAGGCGGUCUUCCAAGUCAGUGGUGAAAGCCCGGAGCUCAACUCCGGAAUUCGCCAUUGAAACUGUUGGACUUAGAGGAUGAGAGAGGUGAGUGGAAUUCCCAGUGUAGAGGUGAAAUUCGUAGAUAUUGGGAAGAACACCGGUGGCGAAGGCGGCUCACUGGCUCAUUACUGACGCUCAGGCGCGAUAGCGUGGGGAUCAAACAGGG
rnacentral:rRNA from 1 species